rnacentral:rRNA from 1 species
GUAGGUGGCAAGCGUUGUCCGGAAUUAUUGGGCGUAAAGCGCGCGCAGGCGGUCCUUUAAGUCUGAUGUGAAAGCCCACGGCUCAACCGUGGAGGGUCAUUGGAAACUGGGGGACUUGAGUACAGAAGAGGAAAGCGGAAUUCCAAGUGUAGCGGUGAAAUGCGUAGAGAUUUGGAGGAACACCAGUGGCGAAGGCGGCUUUCUGGUCUGUAACUGACGCUGAGGCGCGAAAGCGUGGGGAGCAAACAGGAUUAGAUACCCUGGUAGUCCACGCCGUAAACGAUGAGUGCUAAGUGUUAGGGGGUUUCCCGCCCCCCUUAGUGCUGCAGCUAACGCAUUAAGCACUCCGCCUGGGGGAGUACGGCCGCAAGGCUA